rnacentral:rRNA from 1 species
CAGUCGCCGCGGUAAUACGGAGGGUGCAAGCGUUAUCCUGAUUUAUUGGGUUUAAAGGGUCCGUAGGCGGAUCUGUAAGUCAGUGGUGAAAUCUCACAGCUUAACUGUGAAACUGCCAUUGAUACUGCAGGUCUUGAGUAAAUUUGAAGUGGCUGGAAUAAGUAGUGUAGCGGUGAAAUGCAUAGAUAUUACUUAGAACACCAAUUGCGAAGGCAGGUCACUAAGAUUUAACUGACGCUGAUGGACGAAAGCGUGGGGAGCGAACAGGAUUAGAUACCCCAGUAGUCCCUGUCUCUUAUAC